rnacentral:lncRNA from 1 species
GUGGAAAAUUGGUGUCUUCAGUCAAGGUUUCUGCUUGAUGGUUUCCAUCCUGUUUGGAAUUGGUGGCUGAAGGGUUUUAAAGUGAACAGACUGGUGGCACUGGCUGCCAUAGGUUUGGAGGACAGACUCAGGACACAUGGAUGGAGCUCCACGUCUGCUUCCAUCAUUAAAUGAGGAGGCUGCUGAUGGCUCUCCUGCAUCUCCCAUCCAGCCAUCCAAGACUUGUCCUGCAGCCACAGAGGAUCCAGGCCAGUUUUGGGGGGCAGGGACUGCACUGCCACAGGGAACUCCAGACCUCAGUCCUGGGAGAGAGACAGAGCCAAGGCAGGUGAGGGCAGUGCCCUCUGAAGCAGGAGGACACAUCCAUGUGGGCCACUGUCCUUGGAUGUGGGAGGAUGGGAGGAGAAGAGGGCCAAGGCAUCUGCCUUGGAGAUGGAGAAGUCCUGCAGGCUCCCAGCUUGCCAUUUGUGCCAUCCUGCUUGUUUAUAGGAGAAAGUGAAGUGAAUAAGAACAGAUUGAGACCAGUGAGAACAAUGACCUGGACUCUGCACCAAUCAAUCACCAAGCAGGAGACCUUGGAUCGUGCCAAAGGGUCACAGAGACCUGAUGAAGACCUCCUGACUUCAUCCUUUGAAGACCACUGACCCGAUGUGAGACCACUGACUCAAACCAAGAGAAGAAUUGUGCACACAUGAAGGACUAACAGCCUCAUGUUAAUACUGGAUGGGGAUGGGAGGUGCUGGGGUUAUGCAUAUGGAUUGUAUGGAAGAUCUUGGGAAAUAAACAGAUGGAAAAGAAGCUCGUUCA